rnacentral:rRNA from 1 species
GACGAACGCUGGCGGCGUGCUUAACACAUGCAAGUCGAGCGGUAAGGCCCUUUCGGGGGUACGACGAGCGGCGAACGGGUGAGUAACACGUGGGUGACCUGCCCUCAGCUCUGGGAUAAGCCCGGGAAACUGGGUCUAAUACCGGAUAUGACUCCAUGACGCAUGUUGUGGGGUGGAAAGCCUUGUGCGGCUGAGGAUGGGCCCGCGGCCUAUCAGCUUGUUGGUGGGGUGAUGGCCUACCAAGGCGACGACGGGUAGCCGGCCUGAGAGGGCGACCGGCCACACUGGGGACUGAGACACGGCCCAGACUCCUACGGGAGGCAGCAGUGGGGAAUCUUGCGCAAUGGGCGAAAGCCUGACGCGGCGACGCCGCGUGAGGGAUGACGGCCUCGG